AUGGACCUUCUGGCGACACGAGGAAGAAGGGAGGUGGUUCUGGGCGAGCUUGACCAUGCCGGCAAAUUGCUGCUGGGGCCACCGGCCAACGAGGUGCUGCUGGGGCCGGCGGCCGGCAAGGUGCCCUCCUGGGGCCGGCGGCGAGGUUCCUGGAUGAGCAAGAAGCUGGGCAGGGAGGAGGAGAUCCUGGGUGGAGGAGAAUCUGAGCGAGGUGGGAAGGGAGGAGAUCCUGGCGAGGAGAAUCUAGGUGAGGUGGGCAGGGAGAAGCUGGGAGGCGAGCCGGCGACGCGCUUGGAGGCGACACACUUGGUGAUGCGAUCCCGAUGGUUUUUGAAUUUCAAAUUGAUCGAAGGGCAUUGUUGUCCAUUAGCGAUUUUUGGGGGCUGUCGGAAAUCUCCUUCGGCGCCAUACAAAAGUGAACGGAGGGAGUAUUAUUUUUCCAAAACUAUUAAUGGCGCACCAAGGCAUAGUGUGCCAUUACUAGUUUUAAUUAGUAAUGGCGCAGCACACGCUCCGUGCGCCAGAACUAACACAUUUUUUUACUUUUUUUUUCAAAACUAG
rnacentral:rRNA from 1 species